rnacentral:rRNA from 1 species
GACGAACUGUCCAAACGUUGUUCGGAAUCACUGGGCUUAAAGGGCGCGUAGGCGGUCAAACAAGUCAAGGGUGAAAUCCUGCAGCUUAACUGUAGAAGUGCCUUUGAUACUGUUUGUCUGGAGGGAGAUAGGGGUGUGCGGAACUUCCAGUGGAGCGGUGAAAUGCGUUGAUAUUGGAAGGAACGCCGGAGGCGAAAGCGGCGCACUGGAUCUCUUCUGACGCUGAGGCGCGAAAGCUAGGGGAGCAAAC